GCGGGGGACGAGGCCGCGGCCGCUUCGCCGCCCCGUACCGAGGUUAUGGGACGUCCCCGGGGUGCGGUCCCCAGGCGGGAGCGAGAGGUGCCACCGUUCCCUGUGGUGAAAUAAAAACACGUGAAAACGCGACAGAACCACAGCACGAGCUUCCUGCAAAAGAAGGGAUCCCCGCUGAUGGCACCGUGGGGCUCUGCAGAAGGAAUGUCCUGGAAACUGAGCUGGUUCUCACAGCUUGUCCACCACAGGCAGCUUUCAGAAAUGUAAUCACCCAGCGUGAGGGAAUGGCUGUCCUGGGACAUCACAGCACAUCUGACCACAUAACGUACCGUUAGGGAUGUGGUGAGCAGAGGUACCAGACAGCUCUCCUGCUGCAGCUGAUGUUGCUCUGGGCCCUGCAGGAACAGAGAGGGAUGAAGCAGGACGUAGCUGUGUACACAGCAGCAGCACAAAGCACUGCUCACCACCAGCAGCCCCGCUCCCAGCGCUGGGCACUGGUCCCACCUCUUCCACGUGGCAGUUCUGCAGUCCCGGGGGUGAGUUUUCCGAUGAAAAUGGAAAAUCGAGCUACUCUUCUGCCGAGUGACUUCCUCAAGAGCUUUCUGAUAGAAACCACGGUCUGCUGGGGGGUUCUGAAGGGUCAUCGGGACGCAGCUCAAUGACCUUAUCCUCCAGACUGUCUCUGGUGGACCAAAGGUAACGCUAUUGAACAACCCCCCUCCUCCUCUCAGCCAAAGGCUGCAGCCACUCUUCACGAAGAGGAUGGAAUUUGCUUCAGAAGAAGUCAAACAAUAACCUUUCAAUGGAUUCCAUCACUUCCGCAACAAACAAAACACGAUUCGCUUUCAAGCUUAUCUUCGUGCCAAGUUCUGUGGUUACAAUACAAUAGCUGUAUUGUUCUUGCGUGCUGCAGGCGAAAAUGUAUUUUGGUAACUGCUGCUCUUUGUAACACAAUUGUCUGAUAGUUUUUCUAGCAAGCUGUUAACUCCUUCAGCAUGAGAGCACCUCUUCCAAGUAGAGCAUACAGCCUCAGGAGCCGGGUUCUCCUUCUGUGAAAGUAGUAGCAGCUCAGGACUCUCAGUGUUAGAUAACAUGUAAAUUAUGGUGACUCAUAGUGGAAAAUCAUACAUAAAAACUACACAAAGACUUAUUUAGCCACCAUCUCAUGAUCUUUUCCUGGUACACGAGUGUGUGAGAUACGCUCACACACACUCCAGAAUAAUGCUACUGUCUGUCCUGCUGCCCCCAGCCCCCUGCAGCUGUCUUGGAAGAUAUGAGAUACGGAGUGAAAAUGGACAUGCAUAUUCAUAUUCACAUCACAUUCCCUAUUUAGAAAUGAAUGAACCCUGGAACAGUUAUAAUCACUAGUUCAUUUCUGGCAAAUACGCUCAUCCCCCCCGGUUCUGCUCACACAAAAAGGUGUGCUGCUUUUCAGAGUGGCUGGGUGACUCAUGGGAUAUUCCCAUUCAACAGGCUGCAAAAACAGGUUUUGAGGUUAAAAAAAGAAAGACUUUUCUGGAGUCCCAGAAUCCCAGGAUCAAAGGCACAUUGUUCCCUCCUCUAACAAGAAUCCAGUGGGUGAUCCUCAGCAGCGAGAUAGAGUCAAGGUGUUGGCUUCCCUCGUGGAACUACUCUGCAAGAGCCACGCAAGCCUACACGGGCUGGCUGGAAGGAAGGCCAGAGCAGGCAGAGUAUCUGGCUCUUCAUGGCAGGAAACAUUGAGAACAGUAGUGGUUUUUUUUUUUUUCAGUGUGUGCAUGUGGUAUUUUUGUAAUUCAAGAUGAAGUCACAGCCAAGCUGAAAACAAACCAAAGAGAAGAGCCAAAUGUGUUAACAAGAAUCAGAGAACAAUUCCAGCAGUGACUGGGAGCUUCGGAACAGGAGAUAUUUCAUCCUGCACUGAUAAAGCUCGUGCUAACAUCCUGAUCUGUGCUAAGGAGUCAUGCCAGGGAGGAGAGAGAAAAUGCCUUUGCAAAAACAACAAAAACAAGAUUUUCAUUUCUCAUGAACACAGGUUCAUAAAUAAAAUGCCAGAAACUGUGCCUGGAUUUCUCGAGAAAGACUGAAAAAGUGCAUUAUCUUGCAGAAAAGGAGUUUCCAUAUUACUCAUCCUGCCCAUCUCCCAGACAGCACAGAACUGUUCCCAGCACUCCAGUCCCCUUUGCUUUCUUCGGCUCAGCAUUCAAAGGCUGAAGGAACGAGGCCAGCCGACCUUACAAUUAGAAAUGCUCCUCCUGAUAUUCUGCUGUAAUUUGUCUUUGCUCAUUUUCAUGCAUUAGCCUUUAUGAACUGCACGAGGCAACCUUAAUUGCAUUCCCUUCUGACUGCUUAGGGAAGGACAUUUUUCGCAUGGAGGGAAGCCAGGGACCUCAGAGAUGGAGCACAGAGCUUUGGCAGCUGCAGCACGGGAGCACAUCCACUGCCCGGUACAGUAUGGAGCUGCCAGUCCUGCACACCAACUAUUUUGCCAGGUGUGACUCUGGCAAGACCACGAGGAUUCACAUUUGUCAUUCAGCCAGCCGAGGUUUGAUUCCUUCCUUUCAUUCAUGGCAGCUUCUUGCUCAAUUUCCAUGCUUUAUGAGUAGCUCUCUGCUGUAUGUCCUUCAGCAGAACAAAGGCCUUGCUGAGUUUUUCUUUGGUGCAUCCUGGAGGACUUGAGCUGGGAUUUUUACAGGAACCCCAGUGUGUGAGCUUAUAUAUGGCACAAUAGCAGGGCUAAUGCCUCAGUCCUUCUGGGGAGCUCCAUGGGUAGAGCAGCUAGAGCCCAGUGCUGCAGUCUGCCUCGCAAAGCCCAAGUGGGCAGUUCUCCCCAUGCCACAGUCCCUGUUUUUCUUUGCAUUUUGCCUGCCUGUAUUCACCCAGUGUUACCCCUCCAUUACUUAGGUAGAGCUUUUUGUAUUGAAGGGCAUCAAUAUAUGUAUGAAGAGCGCAUACAAGCUUGUGCCCUCGGUGUCACAAAGAGGCAUUUUGGUUCUACCAGAAUAUGAAUUAUUAAUGCAAAUGUCCUAUCUAGUUGGGAGGAACCUGAACGUUGUUCUUUGUACAAUGGAGUAUGAAGAUCUGUGAGGAUAAAUCAAGCAGCUUCAGUGGUAUGUGCUGGGUCUGAGCUAGAUCUCCUUAGAAAGACUGCCAUUUUCAAAAAGAGAUUUCUUAUAAACUCAAGCAAUUGCUCUUAAAAGUGUGAACAUUUCUAUGUCCAGUCAGCAAAACCUCACUGACGAGAAGGCACGGAGCUGCUUCCGUGCUGCUGCAAACCGACAGGCAAGGUGCACGGGUGGGCCCGAGAAAACCCUCCAAUCAGAAGACACUCUUGCAACCCCCCAAAAGUUUGAUCAAAGUCUGUGUCAGACACAGGAGUUAAAAAGGGAAAGAAAGUGCUUGUGUGAAACCAGGGAGAAAUGCAAAGGCUAAAGGCUGCUCUAACCACCAAGCAUCAACUUAACUCCCACCCACCUCCCACACACAACUAGAAAUAACUUUAAAUAAUUUAUUUGUGCCUGUAUUGCAGUUACAUAUUUAAUGACUUAAAGGGAGAGUGCUCCACUUAAGAAGACGUUGGAUUUUUCCAUAAUUCAAAGGUAAAUGUUGCUCUUCUCUAAGAAUUUCAGAUUAAGCUCUACACUGCCAUCUCAGGCAGUCACUACCCUUGUUAACAAAGAGAAAGCCACUGCCUGAACAAGGUUAGCAGCUAAACUUAGAACACAUCAGAUUCAGUGGGAGAACAAGGAACAAGGUAAUCCUCCCGUCCUGCUCACUGAACAUUAGAAGCAAAAAAUCCUUCCCAUCUCGCAUCUGCUCCUUUUGUUUGCUGCCUCAGAUUUCUACAUUCUGUCUUUCGAAUCACCUUUAAAAUCACUCUGUGCAGGAAUUGGCUUUCCAUAGGUAACAAUAUCAUCAGGGACUCAAGGGGCAAAAAUGUAAGCAGGAAUGUGGCAGUGGCAGGAUGAUGAAGGCAUCACUUAUAAAGGAAGGAGAAUAAAUGGAAGCAUCUGCAGAAACAUUUCAUGUUGGAAUUAUCUAAGCUCAUUAGAGAUGAAAACAUUAUCUAAGCUCAUUAGAGAUGAAAACAUCCGACUGAGUCAUGUUCUCAAUUUAAAAAAUAAUGGUAAAUAGUUCAUGGCUCUGGCAUUGCCUAUCCUUUUUGUAAAGAGCAUCACCUUGAUAGUGAUCACUUUGGUCCAGAGGCUUGCAGGAAAUUCUGAUUUCCUGCGUUAAGCAUAUCAGCAAAGCAGUACGUUUGUGGAGAUGAAUUUGCGUCUUAUCAGAGUGAGAAAACUGCUGACUGAUUUUAUGGGUUCCCAGUCUUUUUCACCUUGCAAAGGCCUCUCACUGUGCAGGAGAACUGUGAAACCAAGUCCUGGCCUGUUUGCUUAGCUCCGUGCUUAGAUUAAGAUCAUUAUGGAAUGGGUGCUGCUCUUGUCUGUAAGCCGAGAAAAUACUCUGUAUAUCAUGGGUAUCCCCACAUGAACUUAAUUCCCCCCUGGCCCUUCAGUCUGGGCACUGUGGGACGUGUCAGGAGCCCUGCCUUGCUGAGUUGGCUAGGAAAUACCGGAGAACCACUUCCUGUGCCAUUGAUGGGGUGAGACAAAUGGUUCUGCUAGCUCUGCAUCCAUCUGAACCCUGCAAGACUCAGCAAAGAGCAAGCAGCAUGUGGCACGACCAUUUUGUUAACAGAGGGAAGCUCAUGCUCUUUAAAGCACAGUUUUCCCCUGCUUAAAUACAUGGUAGAGAAAAGCAAAUUAUAACACCAAGGCUGACAAUUAGCGAUGAUAAGCACAAACCCCCAAACAAACCCAACAGCUACUCCUUUUCAAGGAGCUACAGAAAUGCUCUUUUAAUGGCACAAUACCUGGACUGCUCGUUGGGUUUCUUUUCUGCUGAUGCUUUCCUGGAGCAAAUCGCUGCUUAGCGGGAAAGCAGAAAGCAAGGAGGUUGCCAAACCCUGGCAGCCGUCUGCAUCCCAGGCAUCUUGCUUUAAUUUCCCUUCCUUGGUGGCAGAUGGUAGCUUUGCAGAGGUGUUAAAUCUGCUCAUAACUAAUAGGGUGCUGUUUCUUCAAACGCUCCAUCUAUUUCCACAGGAACAAACCAUCAAUUCUCCCUCUAACACGGCACAGCCCAACAGCCAAGGAACUACGGUUUGACUGAAAAUGAUAAAAAAAAAAAAACAAAAACACCAAACCACCUACAUCUGAAAGAAACCCCUGCUGAACAAACGUAAUAACCCCGCGUUGUUUACUAUACUUUCUCCCUUCUCAAGUGCUGUUAGUUGAAGAGCUGAACCCGGAGUGCCAUCCCGCAGAGCUCCUCAGGCACGCUGAGAUAUGCAGGCUGAGAGAUGCUGUGACUGAUGAGAUGCAAGCCCUGCCCUGACAUGUGCAACUUAAACAGAGAAGACAGAGAGUGGAGUACACGUGGUCCCUGGGACCUCCUGGCAUCAAAGGAGAUGUUGGGUGGCUCCCAGAGUCUGGUUGUUGUGGAGGAGGUGGUGGUUACCAGCUGUCCAAUACUGGGUGCUCACAGGACUUCGAGCUUACCUCCAAAACUGAAGGGUGACCUGUUUGCUGCUAAGAGGAAAAUCACCAGAGAUCACAGCAAAGCAGCUUUCAAACGCUGCUGAGCUUUGACCUGGCCCACGUUUAGAUCAUCUUCUGCCUUCCCACGGCCACAGGGAAAAGUUUCAGCUUUAAUCGCAGCAUCUGGUUUGCAUUCGGCUGCAGAAUAGAGCUUCAUUCAUACUGUGCAGGCAGGUUUCAGUCUUCACUGUCCAAGUGCUUCCGCCCAAACUCAUCUGGGAAGUCCUUGUCCCGGUGGCCCUCAGCCUUUCAGCCUCUCCUACGCGUUCUGCCCAGGGUCAUCUUUUCCUUGCAGAUGACGCUCAGGGAAAGCACCCUUGCAAUUCAAGUGAGGUUCUGAAGAUGGGGGACUUUCCUUGAGCGUGGCUUUUACAGCAAAUCCUGGUCCGGGGCUCCUGGGAUGAAUGAAUGGAAGAGAGCCACUAAGGAGAAAUAAGGAGUUUCCUACUUAUGUGGCGGAUGCAAUGACACCUUCUUCUGCCACCAAAAGAGGGCCCAGCUGCUUAUUACAUGUAGUCGUUUCUACAGUGGAGAGGCCGUGACCUUUGCACACAGGUCUAAGGAAAUCUAAUGGCAGCGAUCCUGGUGAUUUCACAAUUUGGCUCAUGUUCAAAAUGUAGAUUACGUUAACUUCGGGGCAGAUUCUGAGGUCCUUCCAGUUUCUUGCUUGCGCAAACAUCAGCUCAGACGUGGGUACUUUUUUCUGGAUAAUCCACACAAAGAAUAAAGGGGCAGUCUUUGCUUCCAGCUAUUCCCACGUGGUUUCCCCCCAAGUUCAAUCAUCCCUCUAACAAUAAGCUCAGCUAUGAAUCAAGGGAAUUAGGCGCCAGGAUCUGCUUAUAUCACACCCUUACAUGAUUUUGUAAACUGGUUUAUAAUUCUGUUCAUCGCAGAGCUGCUCAGAGAAGAAACACAUGGCUGCUUGGCUCGUUCCUGGUCUUGCUCACAGAUUUCUGGGUUUUUAACUGACCACUUCCCUGGGAUGCUUUUUUGCUUCCCCGUUCAAGAGAAUGCAGUUCUAAUAGCCACCAAUGUCCAUUUGUGCGGACUCUUGCAGUAACUGACAUCCUCGGGGUCUCUCAAUUUCCUUCAAAAAUCAAUAAGAUCAGACCUGUUCAUACUGUAUUAGCUACGAUUUGACUACAAGUCAUAACUGUGCUCCCAUUGAUUUUUAUGUGGCUUUGUGGCACUGUCUUGAAACCUCUCCAAAUGUGCUAGUGGCCUUGCUGUAGGACUUGAUGGGGUUACGGCAAGCACGUCAACUAUGGAGUUGUUAACAUCUGUUGAAGGCUAUGAUCAAAACAUAUCUGACCCAAUGUUCCAUACCUCCUGUGUCGUCAAAACCUGUGCUAAAACUAAUAGCUGAAGUUUUGCCAAGUGCAUUUAAAAGAACUAAGGGUGUGCCAUGUCUGUGCUUUUUCCAUGAUCUAUCAGUUUUUUAAAUAUACCCAUCAGCACCCACCCUAGUGGCUUAGGUGUCUUUCGGGGUGAGCAGACAUUAGCCUUCCAGAAUUCAAAGUCCUGUUUGCUGAAUUGUGUUUCCUAAACUCGGGUCCGGAUGCUUCUCACAUAACUGGGUAUCUGCCUAAAAUAAAAGCUUAGGAACCUGGGGCAGCCUCUGGAGUUGCUUGAGAUGGUUAUUUAGGGAACCCAAGACCUGAGCUUAGAAGAGUCAAGGGCACUGGGACAGGCUGCCCAGGGAAGUGGCGGAGUCACCAUCCCUGGAGGUGUUCAAGAAAUGUGUAGAUGCAGUACUAAGAAACACGAUUUAGUGGGCAGUAUUGGUGGCAGGUGGAUGGUUAGACAAGAUGAUCUUAGAAGUCUUUUCCAGCCUUAAUGAUUCUGUGAUUCUAAGGCCAUUUGUACUUGAAAAAAUAAGAAAACGAACGGAGGUACUUUCAGGAUAAAGCGUUGCGGAGUGGUGGAGGCCAAAGUGUAAAUGGUUUAAGAAGAUGAAAUAUAAAUUAGGAUUGGCUUAGUGAAGGCCUUCAGGCAUCUGGGGCCAAAUGCAAAGUUUGGCUCGUUGAACUCUCCAAGUCGCUGAUUGGCAUGGACUAGGAAAAGAAAAGGACGAACUCUUUAAGUGGCAUAUGAAGCUAGAUGAACAUUUCAUCUAAUGGGCUGUGCAAGCCUGAUACUUUUAUUUAUGUGCAUGCAUUAAAGGAAGGGCAAGCCGUUAUUCCUUGCAGCGAGAAAGAAUGACUUCUGGCAUCCCUCGUAUCAUAGCAGGCCAGGGCUGGUUGCUGAGUGCGGGGUGAUAACGGUGGCAGAGCCCUGCUGGCUGCAGGGCCUGGGACUGCUCAUUUAUCACUGCGCAAAUGCAAUCAGAAUUAAGCCCAUUCAUUUCCUGAAACCACUGGCUCACAUCCUGUACAUGUUCAGCCAUGCAGUGGUGUGCAUCUUUUAGGUGAAACCACAGAAACAGGCCUUGCAAGGCAGUGCGCACACACCUCUUUCCCCAGAGCUCUGUUCUUCUCCAUAAGGGACCGAGGGUGAUUUGCUCAGUGUCCUUUGUAAGCUGUCAUGCUGACCAACAGCCUGCUCUUAAUCCAGGCCACAAUGUGAAAAUUGUGCAAAUGCAAAGUGUAGGUGAAAUGAAUGUGAGACGCCGUGCAAACACAGGACGUUCUCCACCAGGCAUCACCUUGCCAUGGAUGUGGUCAGGAGGACAUACCUAGUCAGAGAAGCACGUCAUGGGACAGGUUUGCACGUGCAGCAGUUGGACUCGCCCAUUAGCCCUGCACAGCUCAGCUGCUGUGAGGAUCAGGCCAGCCUCUGGGUUCCUCUCUGAACCAACAAGCUCUCCUGGCUUCUGCUGCUAAUUCUGAUGGUUUGGUUUGUAUUAUAGGGGAAAGGCAAAAAAAAGAGAAAGAAAACCACACAUUGACCACAUAUUGCUGCCUAAUGUCAAGUGUGCAUAUCCUGUGUAUUUCACUGUAUAUAUUGUAGGAGUGUGUGCUUGUGUAUGUGUAUAUAAAUGUGUGUAUAUGCGUGUAUACACACAUACAGUAGGUGUAUGUGCAAGCAGGCAUAUUUCUUGCUGUAUAUUUUUAUUGCUGCUAGCUCUAAAGAUCUAGGGGGUCUUCAGCAUUACAGAUUAAUUGCACUUCAAUAGAUCAGCGGUUGGCUUAAGAUGCUCUGAGCAAACUAGAGAGCUGCAGACGGGCUGCAGAAAUGGAAGAAGCCCUUUCCUUUCUUUCCCAGCUUCAGAAAUACCUCUGGUACAGGAAACAGAACAGUGCCCCAGGGGAGGCAGAGCAGUACCAGCACCAGCGUUUGGGUGGAGGAAGGGGCCUCUGUUUUCUAGAUGCUUUGUGCUCCUGCAAUGGCUUGUGAAGGUUAUGGAAUUGGUAAGGGGAGGAGUGCUCCAGAGACUGCCCUGCUCUUAGCGAGACACUGUAAGAAUGUGAUUUAUAAAAAGUCAUAACGGGUUUAAAUCUUUCAGAGUUUUGGGAAGUUAUUGUUUCUCGCCUUUGAAUGCGUCAUACACAGCAGGGGAGAGGAAGACAUUUAAACUCCGUAUUUCAACAUUUCUUUUCACCUAAGGUAGGACAGCGAAAUCACCUGUCAGCAGCACAUAGUUCUGUAAGCAGGACUAACCCCAGAAAUGGCCACUGACAGCGGAUCCCCAGCUCCAGGUCUCUGACCUCUGCUUCCCAUCCAUGGCGUGCUCCCAGCACCCGGGGGGGCUGCAGGGGGGCCAGCCCUGCACUGUGCUGUGAGCUGUCAUGGCGUGGGAACACGAGCUUCUGCAAAAGCAGAGACGCUCAGAAGGAAAACAUACACACAGCAGCCCCAGGAAAAGCUGCUGGUGGAGCAUGCCUGGGGAGCAUUAGGACGCCGGGUAGGAAAGUCACUGCACGUUUGCACUAAUUAAUGCCAAGCGACCUUUGCAGGGUGAGAGGUCGCGAUGGCCACGUCUGUCUGCUCGCAGACACAAACCUCUACAGAAAUGCCAGCUGGUGCGGGAAGCUCAGGGGGCAAAAAUGGCACAGAGGUGGGUGCUUGGAGUGACUCAGAACCCUUCUCAGGCAAAGCUUCUAGCUGCUGGGGAGCUGUCUGAAGAGUAUAACCAGAACUGGUACAGCUCAUUGCUUUCUGAAACCCAGAGGGUUGGGUUUCCUACUGUCACUUGCUUUAUGCAGCCAUUUUAAGCAGAUGCAAAGCAGGGGAAAAUACUGCUCUGACAGGCUGACCGCUCUGCUUAGCCUGCAGAGAGAGCAAAACAUUUCUGUACCUCUGUCCAUCCCACCCAUUGGGACCAAUGGGAUGUAAACAUCUGCUUAGAGCUUUCUUGAAUGGGAACCCAAGUGUCCUUGUCUGCAUGUCUUAUUAGAGCCCAUUUAGCCAGCAGCACAGCAGACUGACUGUCACCCACCAUUGCCAACACUGACACAUCUCAGCCUGGAGUUCUGACCUGGCACACUUUGCCAGGCUGAUCACAUUUCCUGGCUGAAGCUAGUUUAUAGAUUACUUGGAUAUCACUAGCACACGAGUGAGGGAGGAAAAUCGAUGCUUGCAAUCCAAUUCAAAGACUGCUGAAUCCAAGGGAAUGAUUCCUCUUCAAGUCAAUACGCUCUGAGUGAGGCAGGACAAAGGAGAGCUUUGACAGCAAUUGAUUUUUGAGGGAAAGGAGCUGUGCCUUUCGCUAGGUUGGAAAAUGACUUGUUGCAAAGUAAAGGCAGAAUCCAUGCUGAGCUGGGGAAGUGAUUGAGGCUGUGCAAAGGUUGCACUGAUGAGAGGCAGACCGGCUUCGAUCUCUAAUGAAGGGAAUUGAGAGGGGCUGUGCGUCAUACACAGAAGUACUCUACUGUGAGAAGUGAGACGGUGAGAACUGAUAAUGAGAACGAAGAAGUUUGAUUAUUGCUUCUCAUGUCCUACAAUGCAAUCUACAUCUUUAAAGAAAGCUCUUCGUUUAGAUGUGAGAUCCCCUUGCCUCUGCGUGGUUAGCAAAUCUUAAGCACCGGUACUGAAAAAGAAAGGUUAACCUGAAUGGAUACCGUGCGAGCCUCUUCUUCCUAUUGAAGUUCUGCAUGAAUGCAGUGGAACACCAGAGGCACGUGGGGCUGAUUUGAGCUGCAGCAGGAGCAGGCAGGUGCUGAUGGCAUGUGCUGAGUGCUGAGAUGGUGCCGAGAGAACUGCUGAGCUCCAGCAGGCAGUGAUGGUUGAGCCCUUGUGGGGCAGAGCUGGGUACGGCAGCAGCAAGAGCCAAAUAAUGGCACUGCACAUCUCAGAACAAACGGGCUGUGUGCAUACGCGUAAGAGAAAAAAAAACUUGGUGAUUAAAAAACCAAGAGGAAAUGAAAUCAGGGAGAUGCCGAUCCAGACAGCCAAACUGAGCGGUUCUAAGGCGGAGUGGCAGUUAGCUACGGUAACAACAACAGCAAAGGAAUAUCAGCACAAAUCCGCCCUGUGCCACAGCAUUCAAAACCAGAAGUGCUGCAAAGCCCCCGGGGCCAGGCAUGCACUUGAGCACUUGGGUAAUGUCAACUGAAACAUCCUAACCCCUUCCAGCAGGGGAAACAAAUGUGCCCAGGGCUGCCAGGGUGCUGAUGGGAUGCUCCUGGAAUUCACCACUUCUCACCCAGAACACCAAUAACAAUAGCAAGUGAGUGAAAAAGAAGUAGUUUUUGGGAAUUUUCAUUCCAACUGAAAUCUUGCCUCUGCCUUGACGUGUACCUUGAAGCAAAGGGACAAUUAUCUUAGUCACAACACUCAAUCCCAUUUGCAUAAUAUCAACUAAAUUGCUCAACUGCUUCAAAUGCUUUUGUCAUUAGAAAGAUAUUCCACAAAUAAACUGACUGCGUGUCCCUGACACUCAAAACUAAUGGGUUACAAGUGAGCAAAAGAUAAAGCAGCAUGCUACAAGAAUUCCUCCCUUACCAUUACUUGCACACAACCUACGCAAUCACAACUUUUCAUGUCUAUGACUGAAAUGAAAGUCACAUCGAGGGUCCCAUAAGACCUGGGGGUAUGCCACAGCGAAGUUGAACUAACAUUUUUUAGGUGGAGAGUUGAGCGAGAUGCCUGGAAUGGUAUCUAAUUGCCCCAGAAGAGUACGUUUUUGUGUUUUUUUUAUGGCCUGAUGGCAAAUCCAGCUUACUGAGAUCUAAACCCAGCACUGCAGAAGACUCUGUCUGUGUCCUCAGGCAGAACCUGAUGAUGCUUUCAUGUCUGCUGGGGGUGUUUAAUUGGCAGGCACACAGAGCACCAGUCAGCCAUGGCUGUCCAAAGUGGUUGGUGACUUCAGCGAAUCCAUUCUGGAUCUCUGAAAAGGACUUGGCUUCCAGAGGGAGCGAAGCGCUCAGGUUUCAAAGUUUUUGAAAAUGUUUCAGUGAAUCAGCUCUCAUUUGCAAAGGAAAAAAAAAAAACAAAAAAAGAUCUCAAACCCAGCAAUACAACUUUCUCCCAAGUGCUGCUGAGUAAUGUUUUGUGGUUUUUUUGAAUGGGUUUCGGUGAUCCGUGGGGAAUUGUGUCCUUCUAACAGUCCAUAGACAAACCCUGUGCCCUACUGUGUUCCAGCUCUUGUCUUUGUAUUUCUAAACUUUAAUGUUUCUGUCUCCAAAACCCUGCGAGACAGGGAGUUACUGAACCUGAAGGAUCCCAGUUCCCUCUUCCAAACGUAGUUCCACCAACCUGUGCCUCGGGCUCUUGCAACCUGUUUCUGCAUCAUCCUAAAAGAACGACUCAUUUUUACUGCCCCUCUUCUCACUUCUGUAUUCCGAGGCUGCCUUCUGUAAAAGAUGCCCCAGAUGAGCGUCAGCAGCUGAGGGGCAGGAAGUGGUGGGAGUCAGAAAGACACACUGACCCCAAAGAGGGUCUUCAUGGGAAGAGUUCCUCUACCAGAAGUGGCAUCUGAUGGGCCUGUGUGGGACGCUGGAUGAGGAGAUGGACCAUUUGUGUAAAUGCUGACGUUUCCCUUAGCAAGCAGAACAUUCUACUUCUGGGAGAAGAAAGAAAACAGUAUGUGUGUGUGUGUGUGUGUGUGUCUGAUUUUCCUUUUCUGUACUGUGUUUAUCAAACCAAAGUGAGACUUAGAACAGCACCAGCUCUGCUGUGCCACCUCAGCUCAGUCUGUGUGGUGGGGCUCUGUGGGCCCAGCCCGACUCAGCCCCUGCAGCCCCAAUAGAGAAGUGAGCUGCCCAUAGGGGACAAACACCCAAGAUUUCUGUUUUGCUCCCAGAGGCCUCGAUAGUGAUUCUUACUUACACACAGGCUCCCUGCAUUAUCUGAAGGGUGUAAAGGCAGUAUUUCCCUAAAGGAAGCUUUUGUAGGAAUGGAAGUCAGGUGAUGGCUGGGUGAGACCCGCAGUUGGGGUGUGUUAGCAUCGCUCCAACAAAGUUGAUGGUGCUGGGCUGAUUGAUGCUGCUGGAAGGCUUUGCCCUUUAGAACAUGAAUGCAUUUAUGAUGCAGCUCGUCUGCGGGGGCUUGAAGAGGCUGUGAAGGGAAUAUAAACCUGUCUCAUAAGGUGCAGCUGUAAUUCACAUUUAUCCCAAGGCUUGCUUGUGUUGCCUGUGGACCAGAGUAAAUAUGAACCUGAUCCAAUUCUUGUUUAGUUGGAGAUUUCUUUGAACUGCGCCUGGGAGAACUGACUGCAACUUAUCCGUGGGUAAUGCACUGUGAUUUGACACUUGCUAAGAGUUGGCAGCCGCUCUCAGAAAGAAAUAUCGAUUGCAAAGAAUAAAUUCAAUAUCGUAGUGGAACAAGGGAGCAGGACAUCAUUGACACCAUUUAGUCUGCAGUUCUGGAGCACCCUUUGUCUUGAGUGGAUGGCAAGCUUUCAUUAAGGUGCCUUCUCUGGCAUCAGGCGACUUGAUGUAUGGUCUCGUUUUCAAUUUUGCUGUCUGCAGAAUAGGAAUGAUGCUUGUUUCAGAGCAGCUGUUCAUAGCACUGGGAUUCUUACACAGCUGUGAAUGUCACCCAUCAGUCUAACUCGCUGUAACCAGGGGUAGCUACCAGGAGUAACAGACCUGGGAGGCCAUGCUGAGACCGGUGCCUGUCAGCAGGAGGUGAGGAUGAUGCUCUCCUCUUCCUCUCUCCGUACUCCUCUCUGGCAACAUCUGCUCUCUCCGACUCUCCUAUUACUCAUAGCUCCAGUGUGUAAUUGCUUUCUUUCUGUUUGAAUCAGAAAGUGCUCAGGUUCUGACGGCACCUGCCCGGAUAUUGCCACAUCUCCACACACAGCUCUGCUGGCUGUGCUCAUCUUUGUUCUUUUGGGAAUUCUUAGGGAAAAGGGAAGGAUGAAGCUUCCUGAGGAGCAACGGCUCCGGGUGUGUGGGUGAGCAUCACUUGGCUGCUUCCCAUGAGUCUGGAGGGGGUCUUAAAAAGUGCCUUUUGCAGCUGGGACACAUCAAGGCUUCAGGGAAAUAGCAGAGGAAUGCAUGGAUAGGGCAGCACCUGCGUCUCAUGAGCAAAGAGGAGAGGUACAAAACGUCUAAGUACUGUUUCUGGAGCUUGUCAGCAGUUCUGUUGCGUUGCCUUCAGCAGUUCCCUCAACCCAUCCUAUUAUUUCUUGCAGUUCCUUUUUUUCCCUUCCAGUUUACACCUCUCUGUAAAUUCAGCCUUUGUGCAGGCCCGAGCAGCACAGGAGAUGGCAGGGACAGAAUAAUGCCCAGGGAAGCCAAGGCCUAUUCUUUUCAGGUCUGUUUAUACAGUGGUGAGUAAGACACAAGCACCAUGGUGCACCCCAUUGUAAUGCACAAAGCCUGCAGAGAGUCUUGGUGAUGGAAUCCAAAACGCUGUCAGCUGCUGAACUACAGCUCUUUUGAUGACUCCGCUUGUUGAGGAUAAUUAGGCUGGUGCAUUACAGACACACACAUGGAUGUCUCUAUUCUUUUUGCAGUCGCAGAGCACACGCUGUGCAUCCACUAUGAGCACCAGUUAAACCUAGGGCAACAUUUGCAAGUGUGCUCAGGACUUGGGAGGCUGAGAUUCCCCAUCAGAGGUGCCUUGAAAACCCAAGCCUCAGAGGAGCCAGCGAGGUUAGCAGCAUUCAAAAGCAUUCAGUUUUGGAUAUGAAACUUUUGCUCAAAACCUCUCAGAGGGCGGAAUUCCCCCGACCUCUGUCAGUGUGUUAGUGCAGCGGCUCCCGAGGGCUGGCCAUGCCAGCAGAGCACAGCUCUCAUGCAGCAAACACCAGGAGUAACAGAAGGGUAAGCUUCCAGAUGGCUUUAUCAGGAAGUACCGCAGAGUUCUGCAGGAACAGCCCAACCCGCCACUGUCACCUCGCCUCCCAGGGGAGGAAUAAUCAGCACCUGAUGCAAACAGGGCUCCAUUCAAAUCCCCAGUGCUGGGUGUCUGAAAACAUGAGUUUCUCUAGCAAGCUUCUGUCUUGAGAACCUCAGCAGUAAGUUUGCUUGGUCUCCUGACAGUGACCUUGGGUAUGUAAGUAGGAGAGAAAAAGGGGCAGAAAAGGUAACAGUGAUGUCUCUGUGUCACUCGGCAACUGAUACGCAGCUUGAAAGGGAAUUGCAUCCUAAGGACGGAGUUACUAACGCAGUGGGUUUUGAUUCUGUGAGCUGCAGGUGAUUCUGUGCACUGUCCAUGACCUGGGGACCUGGGCUGCGUGUCCUACAGCUCCUGUCCUCCCUCAGGCAGGGCUGGGUCGGGGAUGCAGUGUCAUCACGGAGCCAUAACAACAUGCAAAGUGUCUUGUUGUCACCAGGCCAUUUUAAUACCAAACCAAACGAUGUACUCAGGGCCAAGGAAGGUUUCUAACAACUCUGUCUGACAUUAGAGAGCCCUGAGAAGCACAGCUCAGAAACAGGCGCAGCUGUCCUCUGGUUGUCUUGCCACGGAACCAGGAACUCGCUUCAUACGGUGAUGCUACUUAGAUAUUUAGAUGUGAAAUCCCAGCAAAGCACGGUGGCUGAAGGCACUGUAGUUCUUGUUUCUCCUCCUGAACACAUGCAAGUUUGCAUUCUGUGCAGCGAGCGCUGAUGCAGCAAGCAUUGCAGUGAUGUGCUGACCUUGGCUGCACCGUGAGCAGUCUGUGUGCAGCGAUGUGCUGCCCCUGAGCAGCUCUCUCAGUGCUGUGGCAGGAGUAUUUCUUUGGCGAUAUCAGCCCUGAAUAUCUGAUUGUUCUGCUCUCCCAGCUAUCAGAUACGAUUAAUGUCAUGUAUCCCGAAUGACAGAGGUGGUGUGGAGCACUGCUGCUGCCAGUACCCUUUUAGAUUGAGACCUGAUCAUAGAAACGACUUCUUCAGCCACUGGUAAGAGAAGGUCUCUCUCCAUUCGAAAACUUUAUACACUGUCACGGAAAUAGAUAUUAUAUUGAGACCAGAAACCCAAGCCUUGUGGUUAAGCUAAUGGACAGAAACUCUACAGACCGAGGUGCAAGUGCCAGCCUCACUAUGGUUUCCAGCCUAACUCAGCUUCCAGAGGAACACUGGACGUGAGGAGUCCUCUACGUUUUAUCACUUCAUAUCUUUAAAGAAGUGAGCGAUCUGCUAGAGAUCUCCCUGAACCAAACACAUGGAGUACAUAACAGCCUGAACUCUGCAGAAAUAUUCUUUCUGUCCUGCAGCAGAAACCUGCAACAAAGGCAACGAAAAAUACUCAUAUGCAGAACUCAUGGGACUCGGUCCCAAAUGUGUGCGCUCAAGCCCUUGUCCC